rnacentral:rRNA from 1 species
UCUUGGAAGUAAAAAGAAAAAUCUACCAGAGUACUACGAAUAAAAAAUUUAAAACUCAAAGAGCUUGGCGGUGCUUUAGACUCUUCAGGGGAACCUGUCUUAUAAUCGACAAUCCACGCUAUACCUAACCUUAUCUUGCAUACAAUUUGUAUACCGUCGUCGUCAGGUAACUUUUAAAAAUUUUUAAUAGUUAGCAGAAAAGUUAAAUAAACUUAAACGUCAGAUCAAGGUGCAAUUAAUGAUAUGGGCAAGAUGGGUUACAAUUAUAUAAAUAAUAAUACGAAAAACUAAUUGAAAUAUUAUUUUAAAGGAGGACUUGAAAGUAAAAACAUAUAUAUACAUUAAUUGAAUAAAGCUCUGAAGCGUGC